GUCGGGCGGAGAGAAGGGGGUCGGGCGGAGAGAAGGGGGUCGGGCGGAGAGAAGGGGGUCGGGCGGAGAGAAGGGUGCGGGCGGACCGGGGCGACCCCUGGGUGAUAGGAGAGCCGCGGUGAACCCAGGGCACGGUGCUGGGGCCGCUCUGGCCGCCGCCGCCAAGCGUCACAGGAAAACAGCAACCAGGACCCCGCGGCUCCUGGCGCUUGGAGUCAGCCCGGUACCGUACCGCGUUGCUGGAGAAUGUGUCCUUGGCGCGCGCUAAGCCAGGUGAGGGACAGCGGGAAGGGGGGGCCCGUGGGCAGGAGAGGGACCAGUGGGCGGGGACAGAAUCAAUUCGCGAGCGGUGAGCCAAUGGUCGAGGGCUAAACCAAUGGGCAAGGCCUGGACCAAUGGGCGAGUGCUGGACCAAUGGACGAGGGAUGGGCCGGGCCUGGACCAAUGGGCGAGGGCUGGACCAAUGGCCACGGGCUGGGCGGUGGCUGGACCAAUGGGAAAAGGAGGAUUUCACCUCGUGGAAUGCUCAGGGGAUGAAGGGAGUAUUCCUUUAUCUAGCUUCUACUUUGACAUAAUUUCUCACCUACAGAAAAGUUGCAAGAAUCCCAAAAGGAGGCUGACUAGGGUGGCUCACGUCUGUUUCCCAAUGCUUUGGGAGGCCAAGGAGAGAGAAUCGCUUGAGCUCAGGAGUUUGAGACCAGCCUGGGGAACAUAGGGAGACCACGUCUUUAGUAAAAAUUAAAAUUAAGACCGGGAGGGGUGGCUUACGUCUGUAAUCUCAGCACUUUCGGAGGCCAAGGUGGGUAGAUCACCUGAGGUCGGAAGUUAGAGAACAGCCUGACCAACAUGGAGAAACUCAGUCUCUACUAAAAAUCCAAAACUAGCCAGGCGUGGUAGCGCACACCUGUAAUCCCAGCUACUCGGGAGGCUGAGGCAGGAGAAUCGCUUGAAUCCGGGAGGCAGAGUGCAGGGACCAGCCCCACAGGGUCGGUGGGUCUCUCCCCGUGUGCGGCGAUGAGAGAGGGUAGAAAUAAAGACACAAGACAAAGAGAUAAAAGAAAAGACAGCUGGGCCCAGGGGACCACUACCACCAAUGUGCGGAGACCGGUAGUGGCCCCGAAUGUCUGGCUGCGCUGUUAUUUACUGGAUGCAAGCAAAAGGGGCAGGGUAAAGAGUGUGAGUCAUCUCCAAUGAUAGGUAAGGUCACGUGGGUCACGUGUCCACUGGACAGGGGGCCCUUCCCUGCCUGGCAGCCGAGGCAGAGAGAGAGAGGAGACAAAGAGAAAGACAGAUUACACCAUUAUUUCUGCAUAUCAGAGACUUUUAGUACUUUCACUAAUUUUCUACUGCUAUCUAGAAGGCAGAGCCAGGUGUACAGGAUGGAACAUGAAGGCGGACUAGGAGCGUGACCACUGAAGCACAGCAUCACAGGGAGACGGUUAGGUCUCUGGAUAACUGUGGGCGAGCCUGACUGAUGUCAGGCCCUCCACAAGAGGUGGAGGAGCAGAGUCUUCUGUAAACUCCCCCCGGGAAAAGGAGACUCCCUUUCCCGGUCGGCUAAGUAGCGGGUGUUGUUCCUUGACACUUUUCGCUACAGCUAGACCAUGGUCCCCCUGGCAACGGGCGUCUUCCCAGACGCUGACAUCACCGCUAGACCAAGGAGCCCUCUGGUGGCCCUGUCCGGGCAUAACAGAAGGCUCGCACUCUUGUCUUCUGGUCACACCUCACUAUGUCCCCUCAGCUCCUAUUAUGGUAUGAGGACACCACUUCUCCUGUUGUCCUUCCCAGUUUCUCCCCAACCUCCCCUUUUCCCUAGUUUAUAAGACAGGAGAAAAGAGAGAAAGCAAAAAGUUGGAAAGAAACAGAAGUAAGAUAAAUAGCUAGACGACCUUGGCGCCACCACCUGGCCCUGGUGGCUAAAAUAAUAAUAUUAUUAUUAACCCCUGACCAAAACUACUGGUGUUAUCUGUAAACUGCAGACAUUGUAUGAGAAAGCACUAUAAAACUUUUUGUUCUGUUAACUGAUGUUUGUAGCCCCCAGUCACGUUCCUCACGCUUACUUGAUCUAUUACGACUUUUUCACGUAGACCCCUUAGAGUUGUAAGCCCUUAAAAGGGCUAGGAAUUUCUUUUUCAGGGAGCUCGGCUCUUAAGACACGAGUCUGCUGACGCUCCUGACUGAAUAAAAAAACCUCUUCCUUCUUUAAUCCGGUGUCUGAGGCGUUUUGUCUGCAACUCGUCCUGCUACACUAUCUCUGUAUGGCCUGGUUUUUCCUAGGUUAUGAUUAUAGAGCGG
rnacentral:lncRNA from 1 species